rnacentral:rRNA from 1 species
CCUACGGGAGGCAGCAGUAGGGAAUCUUCCACAAUGGACGAAAGUCUGAUGGAGCAACGCCGCGUGAGCGAUGAAGGCCUUCGGGUCGUAAAGCUCUGUUGUUAGGGAAGAAUAAGUACCGGAGUAACUGCCGGUACCUUGACGGUACCUAACCAGAAAGCCACGGCUAACUACGUGCCAGCAGCCGCGGUAAUACGUAGGUGGCAAGCGUUGUCCGGAAUUAUUGGGCGUAAAGCGCGCGCAGGCGGUCCUUUAAGUCUGAUGUGAAAGCCCACGGCUCAACCGUGGAGGGUCAUUGGAAACUGGGGGACUUGAGUACAGAAGAGGAAAGCGGAAUUCCACGUGUAGCGGUGAAAUGCGUAGAGAUGUGGAGGAACACCAGUGGCGAAGGCGGCUUUCUGGUCUGUAACUGACGCUGAGGCGCGAAAGCGUGGGGAGCAAACAGGAUUAGAUACCCUGGUAGUCCACGCCGUAAACGAUGAGUGCUAAGUGUUAGGGGGUUUCCGCCCCUUAGUGCUGCAGCUAACGCAUUAAGCACUCCGCCUGGGGAGUACGGCCGCAAGGCUGAAACUUAAAGGAAUUGACGG